UGCAAGGAGUUGCCAGACAAUCAUUUACAAGGGAAGUCUCCAUUUGUAAAGGUAUCUCCCUCUCUGUAUUGGGAAGAGAGGGGGAUGAGCUCAUUUCUAGUGACUUAUCAAUGUGGAAGGUGAGGCCUUGAGCUACAUAAUAAACCUUACUCUUGUUUACUGUGCUUUAGUGGUAAUUUCCUGUAACUGACUCCCCCCACCCCCAAAAUCUUCCUUUGUCAUUGGCUGAAAAUGGUAUUUAAGACGAGAAUUUCUGCUAUUGUGUUGAGAAACGCAGUGUCCCUGCUUUCUCCCAUGUAUACAUGUUAUUAACCUUGGUAUUAUUUUCUCCUGCUAACCUGUCUUGUUGAUUAUUUGGCCAGCCAGAAGAACCUUAAGGGAAAGGGCAGAGAGAGAUUCUCCCUCUUCCCCCGACAGUUUUGGCGUAGUCGCCAGGAGCCACACUGGCUGACAAGUUGCCUUCUCUGGCUGGAAGACCUGCCUUCUCCCUGGACCACUGCAGAUGGUGAGAUACGGGAACGCCUGACAAAAGCUGGCAAAAGGUAAGACUUCUUACCAUGUCAGCCUCCCGGAAUCUCUAUCUGCGGAGUCCGGCGGAAGGAAAUGAAAAAUUCAUGGAAAGGACUCUGACAUUUACACUGAAGUACAGGCUUCUGAUAAACUUUCUGAUCAUAAAACUAAACUUGGUAAGAAAUUACAGACAUCUGAUGGAGAGACUGAUAACUUCAUGAAGCUGCUAACAAAAAGAUUGAGAUCAAGAAUGGAUUAUACGGGACUGAAUAAACUGAUAAGGAUGCUUAUAAUUUUUAUGAUUUUUCAUUUGAAGUAUUGCUGAAUUUUUAAUGUUUUGUUUUUUUCAGAUUUAAGGAAAACUUUUUCUUGUUUCUCCUGAGCUAGCUAUGACUUAUAACAAUUUGGUAAAUGAUAUUUUUGUAAGUAAAAUGGAAAUAUUUAUCUUUUUCUCUCUACCUGAUCCCUCCAGGAUUUGGAAACUCUUAGUAAGUGAGUAUUGUUGUUUUCAUGGCAAUAUGGUUAUUUGCAUAAGUUCAAUAAGAAUCUGUUCUCCUUAUAACAGGACACAAUUGGAAACACUUGUUAUAUUACCAAGGUUGUGACUGGAACAUCAUAUUUGCGAUAUAACCAUAUAGCUUUUGAGGAAUGAAGAUUGGACUUUAUGGAAUAAAGACACUUGGAAAUAUUGGCCUGGUACCUUAUGUUCCAAGUAGCACUUACCAGGAUAAGUAAAGAAUGUCACUUGUCUGGCAGGUACAAGGAACGUUGAAAUAUUUGGGGGGAACCUUGGAAGAGAGGAAUUCACCCAAAUCUGUAGGUAUUGCAGGCAAAGUCUGAUGACAAAAUCCUUGGUUUGGCUUUCCUGGCCUUGAGAGGCUUUUGAAGUUCAAUGUGAGAUUCCUUACAAAAGUUCCAGCAAAGCAGAUUUAAAAGAGCCUAUGUGGUCAAUUGCUAUUCUUGCUGUACUUAUGGAAAUAAUUGGGCCAACUCUAUUGAAACUAGACUUAUUUUGCAAACUAGUUAGUUUUAAGUUGGCUAUCUUUGAUAAAAAUGAGGGUGAUUUUUGAGAAAAAAAUUAUGUUUCAGUAAAAACUAUAGUAUACAUUUGCGGAUAUUAGAUCCUAGUUUCGUUAAUUGUCUUUUGAGGUUUUUGUUUUAUAUCUGUUGACUGGACUGGAUCCUGAUUUCUUCUAGUCUCCUAAAAUAUCUGGCUACAGAUGUCCAAACUAACGUUUUUGAUUUUUUCCAUCAUUUUCAUUUGAAAUCACUGAAAACUGAACCUGCCCUUUUUCCUGAAGCCUUACAAACUGAAGCUGAUGGACUUGAUACAAACUUAAGAGAUUACUUGAUGACAUCAUCGGAGACAUUUUAAACUGCAAAAGAUGCUUUGACGCUGACAUCUGAAAUUCUUCUUCACUGGCUGUCCUCUAAACUCAAAAACUGUUUUAUGACUUGCUCUAACCAUUAACCUUGUUUUUCUUUUGUUUCCAUAGAAAUGCUUCUAUUAAAUACUUGAUUGCUUGCUUCCAUAAUAUAGGCGUAACCUUGAGAGCCCACCUGCAUCACCACCUUCCAAAAUGAACUUAAUUGAACUGAUCUAUUAUCAGGACUAAGAAAUGUGUUCAGUGAGAUGAAACAAUCUACCAACUCAGCUUCUGGACUAUGAAACUUCUUUAAGUUUCAAAAGGACUGUGAAACUUUUAGUUUCAAAGGCAGGACUGUGGGAGAUCAAGGUUUGGCCACCCUGAAAUCUAUCUCUUUACCUUGGUUGUUUUCUCUAGGGACAUUUGACCUCCCCCACUAACUGCCUAAAGAAUUUGACAUGGUGGCUCCUUCCUAGAACAGAUCUAUCAUGACUGCUAUAAAGAUAAUGUAGGAUAGAGGUUACAAUAGAAAAGGCACCAACAAGCCCAUCUUAUCAGGAGUUCUGUCUCUCUGGCCACAUUCUUUGGAUGGCCCUGCAAGGAGUUGCCAGACAAUCAUUUACAAGGGAAGUCUCCAUUUGUAAAGGUAUCUCCCUCUCUGUAUUGGGAAGAGAGGGGGAUGAGCUCAUUUCUAGUGACUUAUCAAUGUGGAAGGUGAGGCCUUGAGCUACAUAAUAAACCUUACUCUUGUUUACUGUGCUUUAGUGGUAAUUUCCUGUAACUGACUCCCCCCACCCCCAAAAUCUUCCUUUGUCAUUGGCUGAAAAUGGUAUUUAAGACGAGAAUUUCUGCUAUUGUGUUGAGAAACGCAGUGUCCCUGCUUUCUCCCAUGUAUACAUGUUAUUAACCUUGGUAUUAUUUUCUCCUGCUAACCUGUCUUGUUGAUUAUUUGGCCAGCCAGAAGAACCUUAAGGGAAAGGGCAGAGAGAGAUUCUCCCUCUUCCCCCGACAGUUUUGGCGUAGUCGCCAGGAGCCACACUGGCUGACAAGUUGCCUUCUCUGGCUGGAAGACCUGCCUUCUCCCUGGACCACUGCAGAUGGUGAGAUACGGGAACGCCUGACAAAAGCUGGCAAAAGGUAAGACUUCUUACCAUGUCAGCCUCCCGGAAUCUCUAUCUGCGGAGUCCGGCGGAAGGAAAUGAAAAAUUCAUGGAAAGGACUCUGACAUUUACACUGAAGUACAGGCUUCUGAUAAACUUUCUGAUCAUAAAACUAAACUUGGUAAGAAAUUACAGACAUCUGAUGGAGAGACUGAUAACUUCAUGAAGCUGCUAACAAAAAGAUUGAGAUCAAGAAUGGAUUAUACGGGACUGAAUAAACUGA